AUCGCUUCUCGGCCUUUUGGCUAAGAUCAAGUGUAGUAGAGAUGGUACCUUUUUUUUUUUUUUUUUUUUUUAAAACAGGGCCUCACUAUGUAGUUGAGACUGCCCUGGAACUCACUGUGUAGCCCAGGCUGGUCUCAAUCCUC
rnacentral:snRNA from 1 species